GCUGCAAACUUCAUUCCAGCAUCCAUGUGACCCUUCACGGACAGUGCAGGCACUAAUUGAUCCACCGCAUGUCUUCAAAUGCAUAAGGAACAAUCUUCAGAAGGUUGGAAAGUUUCUGCUACCGGAAGGACAUGAGGUCCAUCACUUCCACUACUCUGCCCUGCUGGAGUACGAGGAGCAACAGGCUGGCCUUCGGGCUGUCCCGAAGCUCACAAGGGCUCACAUCUUCCCGAACGCCUUCCAGAAGAUGAGUGUCCGGCUUGCUGU